GACGAACGCUGGCGGCGUGCCUAAUACAUGCAAGUCGAGCGAGACUCUUCGGAGUCUAGCGGCGGACGGGUGAGUAACACGUGGGCAACCUGCCUGUAAGACUGGGAUAACACCGGGAAACCGGUGCUAAUACCAGAUAAUCCUUUUUCUCUCAUGAGGAAAAGCUGAAAGACGGGUUCGGCUGUCACUUACAGAUGGGCCCGCGGCGCAUUAGCUAGUUGGUGAGGUAACGGCUCACCAAGGCGACGAUGCGUAGCCGACCUGAGAGGGUGAUCGGCCACACUGGGACUGAGAAACGGCCCAGACUCCUACGGGAGGCAGCAGUAGGGAAUCUUCCACAAUGGACGAAAGUCUGAUGGAGCAACGCCGCGUGAGCGAUGAAGGCCUUCGGGUCGUAAAGCUCUGUUGUUAGGGAAGAACAAGUACCGGAGUAACUGCCGGUACCUUGACGGUACCUAACCAGAAAGCCACGGCUAACUACGUGCCAGCCGCCGCCGUAACAC
rnacentral:rRNA from 1 species